rnacentral:lncRNA from 1 species
GUCAUCAAAUGCCUGUUGGCCUGGCUUCAGAGUUGAUACCAGGAAGGCACGCGUCGGUAACGCCUUCGGGAACUGAUGCAGAAGAACUUUCGUUAGGUAAGACUUUUCCAUGGCGGUUCGAACACUUUCCUCGAUAUCCGGCCGGGCUUGAUGGCCUUGUCCAUCUCGGCUGUUGGCUAGGCAUGAGAGCAGUUCGCUAACUGCUACGAGCGCCCCGUGCAACGUGGCGGAAAACCCCUCUGGGGUGAAUCCAUCUUUCAGAGGGGUGGGCUCCCCGUUGGUACAGCUAUGCGUGAUUGCCUUAUUAGCUUUCGGCUUCUCCGGUGAGGCCUCAUAGCCCGCCAGCUCCACGAAUGUCAAAUAAGUAACUUGGGGUUCUUGGGAAAACUCAACAGUUCGACAGCUGCCUUGAACACCCGGCAAAGCCACCUCGGAACAAACGCUGGUAGGUGCGGCCAGCGGCUCAAGUGUAUGUGAUGUGAUGCUAUUCCGGGUUCCUGACUCCGGUGAAGCAACGAAUCGCACGCCUGCCGAUAUGCCCCUUGGUGCCGGCUGUCUUCCGUGAGCGCUUUUGGGGGGCUGACACGAAAGUUGUGAGGGCCGACUGCAGCAAGUAGCAACUGUGAUGACGUGGACCCUGUGAGCGCAGCUUGGAGGCCAUCCGCAUGCCUCACCAUGGGCUGUCCGGCGGUCAAGCGAUCGUGCCAGCAAGGAGUAGCCGUGUUCAGCAGAUGUCAAUUGGGCGUCGGAGAUUUUCCAGUCCAACGUAUCAUCGGAGUUCCCGAGGAACUCGUCAGAGCCAGGAGGGCUGCCCCUGCAGCAUGUGCACACGUUUCGGCUUAUGCGUCCAACUACUGAAAAUGGAGUACGUCCCGCGGUGGCAGGGCAUUGAGGCUCUCGACUCUUUCUUUGGUCUGACUCUUCUCGUUUUUCUUGUUCCAUUGGCGAUUGGUUGUUCUUUGGACGGUGGCUACGCUGAGCGUGGACAUGCUGAUGAACCGAACGAGACAGUGACGGCGACCCGAGGUCACAGCUUCGGGUUUUGACCGAGUGAUGGUCGCGCGCUGAAUGAGGGACAUAGGACAUGAAUUCCAUUGUGUCUUCUUUCUGUUCGCCGGAAGGAAACAUCCCUGGCCUCUCUGACCAGAUCUGUUGUGAGGUGUUUGGCAGCCGCUCGCAAUUGGGACACUGGUGAAGCAGGUCUCGUGUCUUCUCUCCGAUAACGUCAAAGGAGCUGAGGCGAAUCACUACUCGUCCGUUUUGUAUUUCUUUUCGAAAAGUUCUGAAUAACGAUUCUAGGCACCGAGGAAUUAGGCCCUGAGCGGGCACUGCGGCAAUCCUCUCCGCGUCUCCACUUCCCCAAGUCACUAAGGAAGAAGAGUGGAUCAUUCCUUCUUUCGGAGAUGGACAUGCAAUGGGAAUAUCUGCCUGCUCUAGAGAAGCUCGAGGACCGAUGGCCGUAAAGCUCUUUCCUGUCCCCGGACGUCCAAAGAAGAAACAGCAGGUAUUACGACUUCUUCGAGCUACUGUUUCGCCAAUCAUCGGGAGACCAACACACUCGAAGACAUCCUGUUGAGAAGAAGUUUCGGGUAAGGCGGCAAAGAAGUGAAAAUGGUGAUAGAUUGUGGCAUCUUGAAGAUGCCCUUCCAGUCUCACUCCUACACCUGUCCCAUUUUCUUCGUCAGAGUAGAUUUGUAGUUUUCCCCGUUUCGCAGACUUCCGAACUUCUUCUCCUGGAAGGAACCGAAGUACUACCUUCACUGGAGAAUCGACCGUUUCUGUACGUUGUUCCAGGGGCGCGGUGCUUACUGGUUGUUUUUCACGGCAAGCGUACUGUGGAGUUAACCGCGGAAAAGCUCUCUUGAGCUUCUCACCGUUUCCGGAUCCCCCCAUUGCUUUUCUUGGAAUAACUUGUCUGCUCUGGACUGAAAGAAAAACUGUUUCCAAUCGAAGAGACACUGA